rnacentral:rRNA from 1 species
GGUUAAGCGACUAAGCGUACACGGUGGAUGCCCUGGCAGUCAGAGGCGAUGAAGGACGUGCUAAUCUGCGAUAAGCGUCGGUAAGGUGAUAUGAACCGUUAUAACCGGCGAUUUCCGAAUGGGGAAACCCAGUGUGUUUCGACACACUAUCAUUAACUGAAUCCAUAGGUUAAUGAGGCGAACCGGGGGAACUGAAACAUCUAAGUACCCCGAGGAAAAGAAAUCAACCGAGAUUCCCCCAGUAGCGGCGAGCGAACGGGGAGCAGCCCAGAGCCUGAAUCAGUAUGUGUGUUAGUGGAAGCGUCUGGAAAGGCGCGCGAUACAGGGUGACAGCCCCGUACACAAAAAUGCACAUAUUGUGAGCUCGAUGAGUAGGGCGGGACACGUGGUAUCCUGUCUGAAUAUGGGGGGACCAUCCUCCAAGGCUAAAUACUCCUGACUGACCGAUAGUGAACCAGUACCGUGAGGGAAAGGCGAAAAGAACCCCGGCGAGGGGAGUGAAAAAGAACCUGAAACCGUGUACGUACAAGCAGUGGGAGCACGCUUAGGCGUGUGACUGCGUACCUUUUGUAUAAUGGGUCAGCGACUUAUAUUCUGUAGCAAGGUUAACCGAAUAGGGGAGCCGAAGGGAAACCGAGUCUUAACUGGGCGUUAAGUUGCAGGGUAUAGACCCGAAACCCGGUGAUCUAGCCAUGGGCAGGUUGAAGGUUGGGUAACACUAACUGGAGGACCGAACCGACUAAUGUUGAAAAAUUAGCGGAUGACUUGUGGCUGGGGGUGAAAGGCCAAUCAAACCGGGAGAUAGCUGGUUCUCCCCGAAAGCUAUUUAGGUAGCGCCUCGUGAAUUCAUCUCCGGGGGUAGAGCACUGUUUCGGCAAGGGGGUCAUCCCGACUUACCAACCCGAUGCAAACUGCGAAUACCGGAGAAUGUUAUCACGGGAGACACACGGCGGGUGCUAACGUCCGUCGUGAAGAGGGAAACAACCCAGACCGCCAGCUAAGGUCCCAAAGUCAUGGUUAAGUGGGAAACGAUGUGGGAAGGCCCAGACAGCCAGGAUGUUGGCUUAGAAGCAGCCAUCAUUUAAAGAAAGCGUAAUAGCUCACUGGUCGAGUCGGCCUGCGCGGAAGAUGUAACGGGGCUAAACCAUGCACCGAAGCUGCGGCAGCGACGCUUAUGCGUUGUUGGGUAGGGGAGCGUUCUGUAAGCCUGCGAAGGUGUGCUGUGAGGCAUGCUGGAGGUAUCAGAAGUGCGAAUGCUGACAUAAGUAACGAUAAAGCGGGUGAAAAGCCCGCUCGCCGGAAGACCAAGGGUUCCUGUCCAACGUUAAUCGGGGCAGGGUGAGUCGACCCCUAAGGCGAGGCCGAAAGGCGUAGUCGAUGGGAAACAGGUUAAUAUUCCUGUACUUGGUGUUACUGCGAAGGGGGGACGGAGAAGGCUAUGUUGGCCGGGCGACGGUUGUCCCGGUUUAAGCGUGUAGGCUGGUUUUCCAGGCAAAUCCGGAAAAUCAAGGCUGAGGCGUGAUGACGAGGCACUACGGUGCUGAAGCAACAAAUGCCCUGCUUCCAGGAAAAGCCUCUAAGCAUCAGGUAACAUCAAAUCGUACCCCAAACCGACACAGGUGGUCAGGUAGAGAAUACCAAGGCGCUUGAGAGAACUCGGGUGAAGGAACUAGGCAAAAUGGUGCCGUAACUUCGGGAGAAGGCACGCUGAUAUGUAGGUGAGGUCCCUCGCGGAUGGAGCUGAAAUCAGUCGAAGAUACCAGCUGGCUGCAACUGUUUAUUAAAAACACAGCACUGUGCAAACACGAAAGUGGACGUAUACGGUGUGACGCCUGCCCGGUGCCGGAAGGUUAAUUGAUGGGGUCAGCGCAAGCGAAGCUCUUGAUCGAAGCCCCGGUAAACGGCGGCCGUAACUAUAACGGUCCUAAGGUAGCGAAAUUCCUUGUCGGGUAAGUUCCGACCUGCACGAAUGGCGUAAUGAUGGCCAGGCUGUCUCCACCCGAGACUCAGUGAAAUUGAACUCGCUGUGAAGAUGCAGUGUACCCGCGGCAAGACGGAAAGACCCCGUGAACCUUUACUAUAGCUUGACACUGAACAUUGAGCCUUGAUGUGUAGGAUAGGUGGGAGGCUUAGAAGUGUGGACGCCAGUCUGCAUGGAGCCGACCUUGAAAUACCACCCUUUAAUGUUUGAUGUUCUAACGUUGACCCGUAAUCCGGGUUGCGGACAGUGUCUGGUGGGUAGUUUGACUGGGGCGGUCUCCUCCUAAAGAGUAACGGAGGAGCACGAAGGUUGGCUAAUCCUGGUCGGACAUCAGGAGGUUAGUGCAAUGGCAUAAGCCAGCUUGACUGCGAGCGUGACGGCGCGAGCAGGUGCGAAAGCAGGUCAUAGUGAUCCGGUGGUUCUGAAUGGAAGGGCCAUCGCUCAACGGAUAAAAGGUACUCCGGGGAUAACAGGCUGAUACCGCCCAAGAGUUCAUAUCGACGGCGGUGUUUGGCACCUCGAUGUCGGCUCAUCACAUCCUGGGGCUGAAGUAGGUCCCAAGGGUAUGGCUGUUCGCCAUUUAAAGUGGUACGCGAGCUGGGUUUAGAACGUCGUGAGACAGUUCGGUCCCUAUCUGCCGUGGGCGCUGGAGAACUGAGGGGGGCUGCUCCUAGUACGAGAGGACCGGAGUGGACGCAUCACUGGUGUUCGGGUUGUCAUGCCAAUGGCACUGCCCGGUAGCUAAAUGCGGAAGAGAUAAGUGCUGAAAGCAUCUAAGCACGAAACUUGCCCCGAGAUGAGUUCUCCCUGACCCUUUAAGGGUCCUGAAGGAACGUUGAAGACGACGACGUUGAUAGGCCGGGUGUGUAAGCGCAGCGAUGCGUUGAGCUAACCGGUACUAAUGAACCGUGAGGCUUAACCUU